CAGCCGCCGCGGUAAUACGUAGGGGGCGAGCGUUGUCCGGAAUUAUUGGGCGUAAAGCGCGCGCAGGCGGUCCCUUAAGUCUGAUGUGAAAGCCCACGGCUCAACCGCGAGCGGCCAUUGGAAACUGGGGAACUUGAGUGCAGGAGAGGGGAGCGGAAUUCCACGUGUAGCGGUGAAAUGCGUAGAGAUGUGGAGGAACACCAGUGGCGAAGGCGGCUCUCUGGCCUGUAACUGACGCUGAGGCGCGAAAGCGUGGGGAGCGAACAGGAUUAGAUACCCUGGUAGUCCACGCCGUAAACGAUGAGUGCUAAGUGUUAGAGGGUAUCCACCCUUUAGUGCUGCAGCAAACGCAUUAAGCACUCCGCCUGGGGAGUACGGCCGCAAGGCUGAAACUUAAAGGAAUUGGCGGG
rnacentral:rRNA from 1 species